CUGGCUCUGCGCAACAAUGAGAAUAUCGAGUUCAUGUGUUCCAGCUUCUGUGAGCUCUGGUGAGGCUCGCACGAAGCGGAGGGAGGAAAAGGAGAGGAAUCAAAGGACGGGUUGGGUGAGGGCCGCUGAGGGGCGUGCUUAGAGAGGCCUGGCCUGCACUGUUCACAUCCGCCUAGGCUGCAUGAUAGCCCGCUGGUGCCAUAGGUCCCCGGAUACCCAGGAGGGAAAAGAAUUUCUGCUGUUGGAGUGACCCUGACUUGGCCCCCGUGUGCUUGCUUCAUCAGGGAUCUUGCGAUUCAGGCAUAUUCUGGAACCAACUAGCCUGGGGUCAGUUAUACUAAAGAUCUCUGCAGACCAAAGCAUUCUGAUUCCUGCUUCAUUCCCACUGUCCUUGACAGUUUAUGUGCCACCUUGUCUCUGGAAAUUAAGUGCUACCUACUUGAUUUCUGCUGCUCUGGGUUCUCUUCAUGCCCUGUGAAAUCAGCCGCAUAUCAAGUGCUCAACAGCAUAUGUCGCUAGUGACUACUGUAAUGGACAGUGCAGGUCUACACCAGCUUCUGGUCAUGUUUGGGAAUGAAAAUAACUUCAGGAGAUCAAGCUUUUGAGACAAACUUACCUGCAUUCAAGUUCUGGUUCUCCACUUCCUAACUGGGUGAUGUUGGACCAAUUAUUAGUAUUAUCAUAAUCUAGCUUUUUUCAGCUAUUAAAUAGGGGUAAUGAUAUCCAUUAUAAAGGGUUCUUAUAAUAAUUAAAUGAGCUUAUAUAUGUAAA